GUCAGGAGCGGCCUUGCAGAGUUCGCUAGCGCCAGUUGCACGCCAGACAGCUGCCAGCAUGCGAGCCCCCGCGAGUCUCGUCCUCCUACUCGUCGCCGCCCUCGUCUUAGCCGCCCAGCCUGAGGUCUCAGCGCGAGACGUGGCUGGCGUGAAUUGUGUGCCCGGAACCAGCUUCACACAUGGCUGCGAUGUGUGUCGUUGCCGCGCUGAUGGCCACAGCGGCGCCUGCACCAACCGUCACUGCACCAGCGGAGACCCCUAGCCUGGAGCCCCGAGCCCCCCAACCUGGAGCCCCCCAGGUCUGGAGCCCCACAGCCUGGAACCCCCUAGCCUUGUCUGGAGCCCCACAACCUGGAACCCCCUAGCCUUGUCUGGAGCCCCACAGCCUGGAACCCCUAGGAUUGAACCCAAUAGCCUGGUGCCCCUAGCCUGGAACCUCCCAGGCUGCUCUAGUGGGUUCCAGAGGCAGCUCCACACGGUCCUGAGCUGUAUCUACCACUCUUAACAUUUUGCUGUGCAUCUUCCUACUUCUCUGUACAAACUCCAAUAAAUACAUUAAAGUUGCCACUA